rnacentral:lncRNA from 1 species
GUUCAUGAGGGCGGAUCCUCCGUUCCAAAACCUUUUUCAAGACAGAGGAACCAUCCGGUUGAAAUAUUACUGAAUCUUCACGUUCUAAAGGCCCAAAGAUUGAUGUUGUACAACGUUUGACAUGUUUGAACGAACGUAAAUACAACUUUUCUUAAACUUUUCGUCGUGACAUCGUCCGCGAACUUCCUACAUUUGGAGUAGCUUACUGAACGCGUGAACAACAAGGAGUUAUUUGGACAUAAAUUAUGGACUUUAUCGAACAAAACAACAUUUGUUGUGGACCUGGGAUUCCUGGAAGUGCCUUCUGAUGAAGAUCAUCAAAGGCAGUGGUGUCCCCUUCUUCCCCCAGUCCAGCUGUGUGUCAGCCCUCGGAGGUUCUAGAGAUGACAGAGAGGGGAACCUUAAACUACAGCUGAUGGUGAUUGAUAUGUUGUGUCAGAUACUGCAGACUGAGUCUAUAUGGGAUGUCCAGCAAUGGAUUCUGACAGCUGGUCAAAGAGAAAAGGACCAGGUUCUAAGUCUGCUGUGUUCCGCCCUGGCCAAGGACCCUGUCUCAGCCUAUGAGGCUCCAGGAAGAGAGCAGCUGACAGUGAAGGAGGUUCAAAACUUCCCUCCUGCCUCCAGAAUGGCUUUGAUCAGUGAGAAGGAUACCACCAGAAAUCAUUCCCUAGAAAUGAUGUCAAACUGUGACUCAGGUAAACUGGAGGAUGCAGACACAGAGAGGGCAGAGUCCAAGACCCCCAGGGAGAAUCACAGCGCCAGACCCCUGAGUACCCAGAGGACCCUGGGUAGCCCCCCCGUGUGUCACCUCAACCAGAAGGUGGUCCUACGGUGCACCAAGUGGGCCCUGAUGCCUCACACACAACCUGAAGUGUUCCAGGCUGAAUGGCCCAACUAUACCCAGCAGGCACCUGGCUGACUCGUGAC